rnacentral:lncRNA from 1 species
CUGCCUUUAAGGUGACUUGCUUUGGUUCGGGUAAGCGGGCAGCACAGCUUCUCCGAGAUGAUAACCCCACGCCCUUCGAAAUCCUAAAUCUGCAGUUAAACUAUGAAAUGCUGAUCGAGUUUACCCACAAAACCCGCCACCUACCAGAACUGGGGAAGAGGAGGGGGAGGGAGACCCUGCUUAAUUUCAGAGCUGACGUUUGCAAUGCCCCAGCACGAGCAAAAGCAGAGUGAGUUCUCCCCGCUCUUCUGGUAAAUCGUCAUCCACUCCUGGACGCGAAACCGAAGGGAGAGGGCGCGUUCAACAGCGACAAGGAGCGCGAGGGAGCCGGCUCCUCGCGCGGAUUCCGCCUCAGGCCGCCUUUCCGCUGGCAUCCCAGCCCGGCUGCGGUGAGAGCUCAAGAGGAUGGCUCCCCCUGCUUCCCGGGCGGCGCAAGGAGAAUCAGAGCCUAAGGUGAGUCACCUGCCGGGAAGGGAACACGCGGUGCGGCCGCAAGAGGGAGGAGCGCAAGUCCCAGGGACCUCGUGGGACUGAAGAGUGAAGGAAGACAGACACGGGGCUUGGACCUGCCCUUUCCUAGCAGGGGUGAGAGAGUACACCGAUUGUCCCAGGUUUGCAGCGAAGGCAGUCACGCAUCCCACAACCGGCCCCACCCUCCCAGCCGCGCGGGUUCCCUCCCCCUUUGGACUGAAACCCGAGGAGCCGCCGCGCCGGGUGGACGAGACAGACUCUUCCUGUACCUGUCAGCGGGAGCCGAGAGCCGGGCCGGGCCUGGCGGCACCGAUCGCAGAGCCGCUAGCCAGGCACCUAGCGGGCUCGACUCCGCGCGGCACCAGAGCGGGCCGGGCAGCAGUGGGCGCUCACGAUCCUCCUCUGCCCAACGCGCUCUCCCUCAGGGCCCGGCCUCCUGCGUCCCCUCCUCCUGCUCCUCCUCCUGCUCCUCCCCUCCGCGGGACUCGUCGCGGAGCCUCCCGCCUGCAAAGUCCCUGGCGCGCGGGCAGCCACGAGCCGCCACCACUGCCGGGUCCUUGGUUGCUCGCUCCCCUUCUCUCUCGCCUGUCCCCGGACGUCCCGAAGCUCACUCCGCCGGCUGCGGUUGUUCGGAGGCGCUGCCCAUGGCCCAGCCCGAGAGCCGACUUCGGACGCCGGACCCGCUGGACCGCGGCGCAGCUCAGGUGAGUGCAGAGCGUGUGGGGCGGGGGCAGCCAGGCUCGGGAGUGGCGAGACGUGGGGCGUUCGAGGCGCCAGGACCUGGCGUCCCGGACUUAAGACCAGCGCGGAGCCCAAGUAAUCGGCAGCCCGUGACACCCAUGUGCCAGUGAUCAGGAGGCAUUUCCUGCCGCAGUGCUUCAUGACCCAGCGACGCCCGGCCCAGUG